rnacentral:rRNA from 1 species
CGAUUUGUCUGGUUAAUUCCGGUAACGAACGAGACCACAGCCGACUAAAUAGUACGUGUUAUGGUAACAUAGUAUGAGACUUCUUAGAGGGACAUUUCGGGUUUACCGAAAGGAAGUUAGUGGCAAUAACAGGUCUGUGAUGCCCUUAGAUGUUCUGGGCCGCACGCGCGCUACACUGACGACUUCAACAAGUUUUUUGGCCUUGCCAAAUUUCCUUGGCCGGAAGGUCUGGGUAAUCUUUUAAAAGGGCGUCGUGAUGGGGCUAGAUUCUUGCAAUUAUUAAUCUCCAACGAGGAACC